AGCAACAAAAACUGAAGAGAAGCAAGAAAACCUCUAAAACAAGCAACUAGUAAAAAGCUGAACUGAGGACCAGGGCCUACACAAACGCUGACCAUGGAAAGAAAACAGGCUCAGGACUGAAAGACGCAUGAAACACAGAAGAUGGCCUCCUGGACUCAUUCUGGGAGUCGAGGUAGUUCUGAUCAAACCUCAUGCAGAACGUGCAGCAACACGCUCACCUCUCCCGUUUUGGCUCAACAAUAUAGUGACUCAGUUUGCAUGGAAACAGCGAGCGGAUUUACGAGAAUUUGUUCCCAUGACAAAGAUGCCUGACAACUUUUCAGAGCCGCGGCCUCUGAGUAACAAAAAGCUUAUUUGUUCCUGAUGGGAAAUCGGCCCUCGCUCCCACUGCCAGGCUGAGUCCACCAGCAAUGAGCAGCAGUGAGGACGGAGGAGGGGUCGGCAUGCUAAACGCAACCUUUGUGUGAGUGCAGCUUUUCCCAGAACAUGUCCAGUCUGCACUGAUGAAGUCUCAUAGAGGACUUAAAUCAGUAGCUGGCUGCUCAUUCUGACAUGGUUUAAAGUGUAAUACAA